rnacentral:piRNA from 1 species
UCAUUGUAAACAGACUGUAACUG